rnacentral:pre_miRNA from 1 species
UAUUAUGCCAUGAUAUUGUGUCAACAUGCGAUGAUGUGUGUGAUGGCACAGCGUCAUCACAUGGUGAUGCAACAUCAUGACGUAAGA